GACGAACGCUGGCGGCGUGCUUAACACAUGCCAGUCGAACGGAAAGGCCCUGCUGGCAGGGGACUCGAGUGGCGAACGGGGGAGUAACACGUGGGUGAUCUUCCCUGCACUUCUGGGUAAGCCUGGGAAACUGGGGCUAAUACCGGAUAGGAGCCAGUGUUAGUGUGAUGGUUGGAAAGUUUUGUCGGUGUAGGAUGAGCUCGCGGCCUAUCAGCUUGUUGGUGGGGUAAUGGCCUACCAAGGCGGCGACGGGUAGCCGGCCUGAGCGGGUGGACGGCCACCUUGGGCAUGAGAUACGCCCCAGCCUCCUGCGGGAGGCAGCAGUGGGGCAUAUUGCACAAUGGGCGGAAGCCUGAUGCAGGGACGCCGCGUGGGGGAUGACGGCCUUCGGGUUGUAAACUCAUUUCGCUAGGGACGAAGCUUUUGUGAAGGUACCUAGAUAAGAAGCACCGGCUAACUCCGUG
rnacentral:rRNA from 1 species